rnacentral:lncRNA from 1 species
GGUGUCUUAUUUCCGUUAUUCCAUCUUGUUUCAUGCUUUAUUAUGAAUUUGUUUAUUAUUCUGUCUUGAGCCGAGAGUCUAUCGGAAACAGCCUUUCUACUUCUCCGGAGGUAGUGGUAUGGACUGCGUACAUUUUAUCCUCCCCAGACCCCAUUGUGUGGGAAUACACCGGGUUUUUUGUUGUUGUAAUAUAUAUUAUUACAAAUAAAUAAGUAAAGAAUAAUAUAAAAUUCUAUUGUAUAAUUGUUUUUAAAAAAAAACAAACAGAAGAAAGUGGAGGUUUAAAUGUUCUCCAAUUAACAUGAUUACUACUUCUACUGUAAUUCUGUAAAUAUAUCCAUAUAAAAACAUUUUAAAAGUAAAUUGAUAGGGGUACAUGUGUAAUUUUAUUUAUUAUUUUGAUCCAUGUAUAACUUAUUCCAUCUCCUACUCCCCCUAAGUUAUGUGAGUAUUAAUUUUGUAGGAUUAUUAAAACACAACCAAAUAUCGUAUAGAAUUAAUACAUGAAUAGCUUUUAUACAACAUUUGGAACUUACCAACCAAACAUUGCAUAAAAUUAAUACAUAAAUAAUUUUUAUCCUAUUUACAAACCAAACAAUGUAUAAAAUUAAUUGGUUAUUCAUGUAUUAAUUUGGGCCUUAUCCAGUCACCAAACGACCCUUAUUUCUCAAAAAUCCGUUUCUGUGAAAGGAUUUGGCUCAGGACCAUCUUCUAGCAUUUCUAGUUUCUGGUGUUUAUCGGCUUGCCUAGAACACUGAGAUUGGGAUUUCAGCAUUUUCAUGAUAAGUCUUGAACUGACUUCUGCUUGGGAUGUGAUGAUUGUGAGAACUGAGAACACUACUGACUAAUCAUACUGCCCCCUUCCUUUGGACUCUUUAAUUUAGAAUCAAUGGCACCACAAACUAAAUCGAGCUGACAAUAAGAGAUGGAAUAAUGUCUCAACUGUGAGUGACUCCAUGGUACAGCUUGAUCAUUCUUUGCAGGAUCUUCUAAGUGGUGGAAAGUUAGUGGUUAUGAUCAAUGUGUUGCCAGCUCCUUUAAAGUUGUCAAUAUGCGUUCGAAGUACGGUAGCUGGACAAGCUCCUUUAAAUUUCUUUAUCAUAUAUGAGAUCAAGACAUGAAUUCGUGGCAUUUGAUAAUAAAUGGUCUAAGUUGCGCAGGCUCUUCACUUUUGAUGCCGCACCCGUGUUGGAUUCUACAAAAUUACACCGCUUUUGGAGGAUCCAACACACACCCAUUGACAUUUUGAAGAGUCCGAGCAACAUAGUAAAUGGUAAUGCAUAGAAUGGAUUGGGGGUCAACGGUUUGGAUUUGUAUGGUGAGAUGAGGGAGCUGCAUUUGAACCCAACCAAGGAAAUAUUUCUUGAAGAUCUUGGGUUUGUGCCUUUCAUGAAAUUGCACAGCUAUAUGAGCUUGAGUGGUCUGACUAUUCAUUUGUUUCUUUGUGGUGUCACUAGAGCUUUUUUCAAGAACCUGACCAAACAGUCUCUGCAUAUCCAUUGACUGGCAAUUCAAUGCCAGAAAUAUCUUUGAGCAUGCCCUUGCCCUUAUUGAUGAUGGUUUGAACGUUGCAGAAGCUAGCAGUAUAUGGGAGUCUUACAGGGGAUUUAAACCAACUAUUCUGUUUGCUGCUGAAACUAAUGCUGAGCAAAGGAAAAGAAAAGGACCGUCAAGUUUAGAGUUAAUUCUCUCAUCAGUUUUUGGCCUCUCUUGUUGAUCCAAAAUGCAAGGCUCUUAUGGUGUCACUUAAGGCACACAUGGAGAAGAUCGAACCAAUAGAUCUCAUGGUUUCAAGGGGUGUGAUAUUAACAGUGGAGAAUCGAGAAAGAGGAGAAUCCGAUAAAGAGGAGAAUCGCCUAUGUUAGUUGCUGUUUUAUGUGUUAAAGUGAACGCGUAGUGUAGAUCAUCUGCUUUUGCAUUGUAGGGUGGCUAUUCGGUUAUGGAGGGUGGCCCUAAAUUUGUUUGAGAUGCAAUGGUUCAUGCCGGGUACAUUGAAUGAGGCCUUGAUAAGAGGGCUUUUGAAAGAGUGGAACUUGAUUUUGUAAAAUCAAAGAGUUAGUGUUGUCUCUAGUUUCUUUAAGGUGUACUUGCGAGGUUCCAAUUUAUAUAGAGGAUUGGAUCUCUUUUGUUGAGAGCCAUAUUUUGGUGUAGGUUCUCUUCUUUUGGUAUGUGGCUUGUACCCCCUCCCCUCACCACGCGCGCACACAAAAAAAAAAAGCUUCGUGCACUAAAGCUAUGCACGGGGUCCGAGGAAGCGCUAGACCGGAAUAGUCUAUUGUACGCAACCUCACCUUACAUAUCCCUAGGCUUGAACCCACGACUUCCUGAUCACAUGACAACAACUUUAUCAAUUACACUAAGAUUUUCCCCAAACGUUGAUAAAAUUAUUUACCUUAUCAACAAUGGUUUCAAGUGUGCGUAAUGCUUGCAGAGAGAUGAAAGUGUUUGAUCCGAAAAGGUCUGUCCAUGACCUCACGCUAAAGGCUAGUGUUAGAGGGUAACAAGACUGUUAUAAAUGCACUUGUUGAUAUGUACAGGAAAGUUGGAAACGUGAGCGAUUGUGAGAGCACAUUUCGUGAUCUAGAGAGCAAAAGGAUCAUAUGGAAUGUAGCAACCGGUAGUGCAUGUGAGAAUUAAAAUAUACAGGGGAGGCCUAUCAGAGGUUAUUCCGACCUGAACCAAAGGAAAACGGGUCUGUCAAAUUUACUCCUCUACUUUCAAAAAUUGGCUAACUUUAUCCUUUGUCAUACUAUGGGGUCAUAUUUGACCUCGGCCGUUAGUAAAGUUUUCACUUAUACCCCUCAUUGGAUGGAAAUGGCCAUAUCAACAAAAAUAACCCAUUGUUGAAAAAAAGAAACAUAACCACUAACUUACCUUUAUUUAGGGUGUGCAUAGUCGGUUCGAUUUUAUAUAUUAUUGGUUUGAUUAUUCCAAUUUUUUUAAAUAUGCUAAACUUAUAACUAAACCAAUUAGUUAUUUUUUAUUGGUUUUCAGUUUAUCGAUUUUUAAUCCUUAACGGUUCGAUUUUCGGUUUAACCGAUAAAAAAAUACUCAUAAAAUAGAAAUCAUAUCAACUAACAUGAAAAAAAAACUAAAUCUUAGUUGCAGUCAAAAUCCUACAUGAUGUGUUUUUAUUUAUACGAAAAAGGGCCUAAAAUGCCCUUCAAUUAUGUAAAUGGUGCAAAAAUGCCCUCCGUCUACCUAUUGGGCCUAAAAUGCUCUUUUCGUCUACCUAUUGGGUCUAAAAUGCCCUUCUCACCUAUCCAUUGGGCCUAAAAUGCCCUUCACGCCUACCUAUUUGGCCUAUUUUGCCCUUUUAUUUAGGCAAAUUACAUGAAAAGACCAUUCUUAAAACAUAAUUUUAUAAAUAAUAAUACUUUUUCAAUAUUACAAAAAUAAAAGUUUUUUUUUUUUUUUACAUAUAUAGCCAUUUAAAGAAAUCAGAAAAGAUAAUUAUAAUUUCUAAUUUAAUGCUUUAACUAAUUAUCAAUUCACCUUAAUUUAAGAGAUAUAUUUUCAAUCUUUAAAUUAAAAGUGGAAAAGAUAAUCAC